rnacentral:rRNA from 12 species
GAACGUAGUCACACCAUCCUGUGAGUGCCUGAUCCCAUCAGCUUUUGGAAGCUAAGCAGGGCUGGGCCUGGUUAGUACUGGGAUCAGAGACCGCCUUAGAAGACCAGGGGCCACUAGACUCA